UAGAAGAUAUCUCGAGAAGCCCAAAUAGUGUCGCGCAUUUUCUGUUCUUGUUUUUUAGCAAUCAGAUAUUUUCCAGAGCAUCUAGAAGAUUUCAUUGUAGGUGUAUAAUUAGCACGUUCCUGACAAUCUGGAUAAGAAUUUUAUAAGUAAUAAGACUUUGACGGCGGUUUUAUUUGUAUGGGAACUCAACUUGAUCUACACCAGGUUAUUUUGUUUAAGUGAGCGCAGAAUGGUGUCUAGCUAUUUGAUGACGAGGAACCCACGUUGAGACAAUAAAGUUUGAAGACGACUUGAAUGGGUAAUAAAGAAAAUUUUAUUACAUGUUUAACCUAGUUAGAAAUGUACAACGUAUUGACAAGGUUUUGUCCCACUAUAGCAACAUCUUCGCAUCUUUGUGGUGUAAUUGAGGGAUAGGUUCUUGAAGAGAUGAUUUUAAAUUGUGUGGUAGAGGGUAAUCUGAAC